rnacentral:rRNA from 1 species
UCAGGAUGAACGCUAGCGGUAGGCUUACACAUGCAAGUCGAGGGGUAACAUUGGUGCUUGCACCAGAUGACGACCGGCGCACGGGUGAGUAACGCGUAUGCAACCUGCCUGUAACUGGAGGAUAGCCCUUGGAAACGAGGAUUAAUACUGCGUAACAUUAUUGAAUCGCAUGGUUUAAUAAUCAAAUCUACGGAGGUUACAGAUGGGCAUGCGUGCCAUUAGUUAGAUGGUGAGGUAACGGCUCACCAUGACAUCGAUGGCUAGGGGUUCUGCAAGGAAGAUCCCCCACACUGGUACUGAGACACGGACCAGACUCCUACGGGAGGCAGCAGUGAGGAAUAUUGGGCAAUGGACGCAAGUCUGACCCAGCCAUGCCGCGUGCAGGAUGACUGCCCUAUGGGUUGUAAACUGCUUUUGUUUGGGAAGAACUCCCCGAUCGUGAUCGGGGCUGACGGUACCUUACGAAUAAGCAUCGGCUAACUCCGUGCCAGCAGCCGCGGUAAUACGGAGGAUGCAAGCGUUAUCCGGAUUCAUUGGGUUUAAAGGGUGCGCAGGCGGAAUAUUAAGUCAGUGGUGAAAUCCUGCAGCUUAACUGUAGAACUGCCAUUGAUACUGGUAUUCUUGAAUGUAGUUGAGGUGGGCGGAAUGUGUAAUGUAGCGGUGAAAUGCUUAGAUAUUACACAGAACACCAAUUGCGAAGGCAGCUCACUAAACUAUGAUUGACGCUGAGGCACGAAAGCGUGGGUAGCAAACAGGAUUAGAUACCCUGGUAGUCCACGCCGUAAACUAUGAUCACUCGCUGUUGGCAAUACAUCGUCAGCGGCUGAGCGAAAGCAUUAAGUGAUCCACCUGGGGAGUACGGUCGCAAGAUUGAAACUCAAAGGAAUUGACGGGGGCCCGCACAAGCGGAGGAACAUGUGGUUUAAUUCGAUGAUACGCGAGGAACCUUACCUGGGCUUAAAUGCAGAGCGACGUUCCGGGAAACCGGAAUUCCUUCGGGCGAUCUGCAAGGUGCUGCAUGGCUGUCGUCAGCUCGUGCCGUGAGGUGUCGGGUUAAGUCCCAUAACGAGCGCAACCCUUAUCGUUAGUUGCCAGCGGGUAAUGCCGGGGACUCUAACGAAACUGCCGGUGUAAACCGUGAGGAAGGUGGGGAUGACGUCAAGUCAGCACGGCCCUUAUGUCCAGGGCUACACACGUGUUACAAUGGUCGGUACAGAGGGCAGCUACCUGGCAACAGGAUGCUAAUCUCGAAAACCGGUCUCAGUUCGGAUUGGAGUCUGCAACUCGACUUCAUGAAGCUGGAUUCGCUAGUAAUCGCGCAUCAGCCAUGGCGCGGUGAAUACGUUCCCGGGCCUUGUACACACCGCCCGUCAAGCCAUGGAAGCUUGGAGUACCUGAAGUCCGUAACCGCAAGGAGCGACCUAGGGUAAGACA